UACGAAGGGGGCUAGCGUUGCUCGGAAUCACUGGGCGUAAAGGGCGCGUAGGCGGCCAUUUAAGUCGGGGGUGAAAGCCUGUGGCUCAACCACAGAAUUGCCUUCGAUACUGGGUGGCUUGAGUCCGGAAGAGGUUGGUGGAACUGCGAGUGUAGAGGUGAAAUUCGUAGAUAUUCGCAAGAACACCGGUGGCGAAGGCGGCCAACUGGUCCGGAACUGACGCUGAGGCGCGAAAGCGUGGGGAGCAAACAGG
rnacentral:misc_RNA from 1 species